UACGUAGGUGGCAAGCGUUGUCCGGAAUUAUUGGGCGUAAAGAGCUCGUAGGCGGUCUGUUGCGUCCGCUGUGAAAACUCGGGGCUUAACCCCGAGCCUGCAGUGGAUACGGGCAGACUAGAGGUAGGUAGGGGAGAAUGGAAUUCCCGGUGUAGCGGUGAAAUGCGCAGAUAUCGGGAGGAACACCGGUGGCGAAGGCGGUUCUCUGGGCCUUAACUGACGCUGAGGAGCGAAAGCAUGGGGAGCGAACAGG
rnacentral:rRNA from 1 species